rnacentral:rRNA from 1 species
AUUGAACGCUGGCGGCAUGCCUUACACAUGCAAGUCGAACGGCAGCACGGGAGCAAUCCUGGUGGCGAGUGGCGAACGGGUGAGUAAUAUAUCGGAACGUGCCCAGUCGUGGGGGAUAACGUAGCGAAAGCUACGCUAAUACCGCAUACGAUCUAUGGAUGAAAGCGGGGGAUCGCAAGACCUCGCGCGAUUGGAGCGGCCGAUAUCAGAUUAGGUAGUUGGUGAGGUAAAGGCUCACCAAGCCGACGAUCUGUAGCUGGUCUGAGAGGACGACCAGCCACACUGGGACUGAGACACGGCCCAGACUCCUACGGGAGGCAGCAGUGGGGAAUUUUGGACAAUGGGCGCAAGCCUGAUCCAGCAAUGCCGCGUGCAGGAUGAAGGC